CUACGGGGUGCUGCAGUGGGGAAUCUUGGACAAUGGGCGCAAGCCUGAUCCAGCCAUGCCGCGUGAGUGAAGAGGGCCUUAGGGUCGUAAAGCUCUUUCGCCAGAGAUGAUAAUGACAGUAUCUGGUAAAGAAACCCCGGCUAACUCCGUGCCAGCAGCCGCGGUAAUACGGAGGGGGUUAGCGUUGUUCGGAAUUACUGGGCGUAAAGCGCGCGUAGGCGGAUUAGUCAGUCAGAGGUGAAAUCCCAGGGCUCAACCCUGGAACUGCCUUUGAUACUGCUAGUCUUGAGUUCGAGAGAGGUGAGUGGAAUUCCGAGUGUAGAGGUGAAAUUCGUAGAUAUUCGGAGGAACACCAGUGGCGAAGGCGGCUCACUGGCUCGAUACUGACGCUGAGGUGCGAAAGUGUGGGGAGCAAACAGGAUUAGAUACCCCAGUAGUC
rnacentral:rRNA from 1 species